rnacentral:rRNA from 1 species
UGGGGAAUAUUGGACAAUGGGCGAAAGCCUGACCCAGCAAUGCCGCGUAAGUGAAGAAGGCCUUCGGGUUGUAAAGCUCUUUUGCCCGGGAAGAUAAUGACUGUACCGGGAGAAUAAGCCCCGGCUAACUCCGUGCCAGCAGCCGCGGUAAUACGUAGGUGGCAAGCGUUGUCCGGAUUUACUGGGCGUAAAGGGCGUGCAGGCGGUUUGUUUAGUCUAGGGUGAAAGCUCCCGGCUUAACUGGGAGAGGUCCUUGGAUACUGGCAAACUUGAGGGAGGCAGAGGAAAGUGGAAUUCCCGGUGUAGUGGUGAUAUGCGUAGAUAUCGGGAGGAACACCAGUGGCGAAGGCGGCUUUCUGGGCCUUACCUGACGCUGAGACGCGAAAGCGUGGGGAGCGA